GGAUGCGAUCAUACCAGCACUAAAGCACCGGAUCCCAUCAGAACUCUGAAGUUAAGCAUGCUUGGGCGAGAGUAGUACUAGGAUGGGUGACCUCCUGGGAAGUCCUCGUGUUGCAUUCC
rnacentral:rRNA from 1 species